UGGGGAAUUUUGGACAAUGGGCGCAAGCCUGAUCCAGCCAUGCCGCGUGCGGGAAGAAGGCCUUCGGGUUGUAAACCGCUUUUGUCAGGGAAGAAAUCUUCUGAGUUAAUACCUCGGGAGGAUGACGGUACCUGAAGAAUAAGCACCGGCUAACUACGUGCCAGCAGCCGCGGUAAUACGUAGGGUGCAAGCGUUAAUCGGAAUUACUGGGCGUAAAGCGUGCGCAGGCGGUUUUGUAAGACAGAGGUGAAAUCCCCGGGCUCAACCUGGGAACUGCCUUUGUGACUGCAAGGCUUGAGUGCGGCAGAGGGGGAUGGAAUUCCGCGUGUAGCAGUGAAAUGCGUAGAUAUGCGGAGGAACACCGAUGGCGAAGGCAAUCCCCUGGGCCUGCACUGACGCUCAUGCACGAAAGCGUGGGGAGCAAAACAGGAUUAGAUACCCUGGUAGUCCACGCCCUAAACGAUGUCAAACUGGUUGUUGGGAAGGUUCCUUCUCAGUAACGUAGCUAACGCGUGAAAGUUGACCGCCUGGGGAGUACGGCCGCAAGGUUG
rnacentral:rRNA from 1 species